rnacentral:rRNA from 1 species
GAUCAUGGCUCAAGAUGAACGCUAGCGGCAGGCUUAACACAUGCAAGUCGAGGGGCAGCGUGGGGCAGCAAUGCUCUGACGGCGACCGGCGGAAGGGUGCGUAACACGUGAGCGACUUGCCCGUCACAGGGGGAUAACCGGCGGAAACGGCGACUAAUACCCCAUAUGCUGCGAUGCUGCAUGGCAUUGCAAUGAAAGAUUCAUCGGUGGCGGAUAGG